UACGGAGGGUGCGAGCGUUGCUCGGAAUUACUGGGCGUAAAGCGUACGCAGGCGGUUCGUCAAGUCGGGUGUGAAAGCCCGGGGCUCAACCCCGGAAUUGCAUUCGAAACUGACGGGCUUGAGUACGGGAGAGGGAAGCGGAAUUCCUGGUGUAGAGGUGAAAUUCGUAGAUAUCAGGAGGAACAUCCGUGGCGAAAGCGGCUUCCUGGCCCGAUACUGACGCUCAUGUACGAAAGCGUGGGGAGCAAAC
rnacentral:rRNA from 1 species